rnacentral:rRNA from 1 species
UACGUAGGGGGCUAGCGUUGUCCGGAUUUAUUGGGCGUAAAGGGCGCGUAGGCGGCCCGCGUUUAGUCGGACGUGAAAUCCCUCGGCUACAACCCGGAGGAACUGGCGUCCGAUACUGGCAGGCUUGAAUCCGGGAAGAGGGAUGCGGAAUUCCAGGUGGUAGCGGUGAAAUGCGUAGAUAUCUGGAGGAACACCGGUGGCGAAGGCGGCAUCCUGGGACCGGCAUUGGACGCUGAGGCGCGAAA